CAAUAAGCAACACUUCCUCCAGUCACUAAUGCUCCAGGUUUCAUGUCACUCCAUGAGAUGAUCAAGAUCACAAGACUCACAUGCAAAUCUCUUUUGAGAAACUUCACCUUCAUACCUUGAGGAAAUUCCUGAUCCUCACAUGGGGUUCUUACUAUGCAGCCUACUUUUGAACUCACUGUGAGGCCUAAGCUGGCGGAAAGCUACUGAACUCGGGAUCCUCCUGUUUCAGCCUCCAGAACUCUGAGAUAAUAGGUAGGUGCUCACCACGCCCAGCUCUCAUCCCUCUUACAUGAAACACAACUGUAAAGUUCAAAAUCAAUUUUCUUUCUAUACCUAGAAAUACUUACCAAACUACAAAUUUAUUUGGAUCUCUAAUAUCAUUCUGCAGCCCCUCUUCCCAAACACCUUCCUUCUAUUACUAUAUUACUAGUUUUGUUUCAAGUAAUGAUAAUUCACCUUUAAUUUUUCCUCUUCUUUCCCAGCUUAGGGCAAUAAAUAAAU